AGCAGCCGCGGUAAUUCCAGCUCCAAUAGCGUAUAUUAAAGUUGUUGCAGUUAAAAAGCUCGUAGUUGAAUUUCGGGAUCAAAUUGUCGGUCGUGCCUCGGUACGUACUGGCGUUAUUGGUUCCUCCCUUCUGAAGAACCGCGAUGUCAUUAAUUUGGUGUCGCGGGGAAUCAAGACUGUUACUUUGAAAAAAUUAGAGUGUUUAAAGCAGGCUCGCGCUUGAAUACAUUAGCAUGGAAUAAUGAAAUAGGACGUUUGAUUCUAUUUUGUUGGUUUCUAGGAUCGACGUAAUGAUUAAUAGGGAUAGUUGGGGGCAUUAGUAUUCAAUUGUCAGAGGUGAAAUUCUUGGAUUUAUUGAAGACUAACUACUGCGAAAGCAUUUGCCAAGGAUGUUUUCAUUAAUCAAGAACGAAAGUUAGGGGAUCGAAGACGAUCAGAUACCGUCGUAGUCUUAACCAUAAACUAUGCCGACUAGGGAUCGGAUGAUGUUAAUUUUUUAAUGACUCAUUCGGCGCCUUAC
rnacentral:rRNA from 1 species